AACACUACCCGAAUAACCCCCUUCCCAACUCUAUCGACAUUCUACACCACCGGUCCACCACAAACACCACCAGGCAUUGUCGUUGCCGGAACCACCGUAAAUGCCUGGCCGGAACAACCGUACCACCGCGUCUCUCUCUCUCUCUCUCUCUCUCUCUCUCUCUCUCUCUCCGUUCAAAUGACUUUUUCAGCCAAAGUCGUGGACUUUCACUCCUACCAUCUCUACUACCAUCACUGACCAUGGCCAAACGCCAUUACCUUUCCGAUCAUUCACCUAGGGUUUCGAAAGGUGAUUACGAUCGAUUCAACAUUGAGGCAAUUUUGGAGUCACUAGAAGCCAAUGUGUGUUUUAACAACAUUGCUACAGAUCCUCUGGUGAUCAGUUCUCUAGAGCUUAUCCAUAUCGAUCCAACUUCGUAUGACCUCGUUUUAUCCGGUAACGACUCUUCAGUUCUCUUGAAUUAUGAUCGGUUGUCUUUUGAUUCGAUCUAUCUAUUUGUAUUGUUCACUGAAUUUGAUGGUCAAGCAAGAGAAAGCCUAACCUAUUCAAGCAAAAAAGAGGAAGAACGAGCUAUGCACAUAAGGUGCUCGACGAAAUGCAUGUAAGAAGGAUCGACUUGUUGUUGCUGUUUUUCACAUCAGGCUCAACCUCUCGUUUUUCUUUUCUUGAUUUCUAGUUGACAGUCGACCCCAUUGAAAAACUCAACAAACACCUAGUAGGUUAGAUUCAACAUUUGAAUACGAUAUUGUUUCUCUUAUUUCAUACGAUAUGCAAGAUAGAACAACAGACCUCCUACUAUUCAGACGUGAUCUUGACGGGAACAGGAAAUUUGGAAUAUGAAUUGUCCGUGGAUGCAAAUCUUGAUUAUCUAGUCUGUCUUUACUUUGCUGAAAUUGAUGUGAGUGUGAAUCAAAAGGGGAAAUGGGUGUUUGACAUGAUUAUAUUUGAUUAAAUUGUACCAAAAUCGUGUUUAUCAGUUUGAGAAACUGGAACAGUUCUGCAUUACCAGCCCAAAUGAUAAUGAUUCGUGGGACAUACAUGAAUAAAUAAUCAAAACUCAAAGGAGUUUUAUCAGAUAUUGAAACUUCCAUACUAGUUAUAGGUAGUGCUUGUUGUUUCAAGUGCUUUAAAUGAUGUUUCUGCAGAGAAGUAUGAUUUACAAUCAUGGUUUCCUGCAUCUAGUAGUUACUGAGAGCUUGUUACAUACUCAAAUUGCACUAAUUAUCAAUCAACAAAAUUGGAGAUUAGAUAUGGGCAAAAGAAGGUUGGUUCUAUGACUUUUAAUUGUAUUUGUAAUUAAUCGUUUGAUCAUAUUUCUUUUCAUCCCAAACAUGUUGGAUUUUGUUUCGUUUAAUCUUGACAAAUUGUGUCUACUUAUACAUCAAAAGGAUUACAAUUCAACUCAUCCAGGGAGUAGAAGAAUGGAACAAGAAGUAUUAUGAUGAAUUAGUUAUCUAUAAUGGAAGUGAUUUCAAUGGUUCUAUGCUAUUUAUUGGGGAUGCUUUUUCCACAGAUAUGUUGUUAGGUGAAGUGAUCCCGCAAAUUGUUACUCAAGUUCAAUGUCUCUUACAGUAAAAGAUUGAUUUAGAUGGCAUUAUUAAACAUCCCCAACUUAGAUAAAAAAUUUAGUACCUAGAAAACCCAACCAGGCAGCAAAAGAAAUGAUGGUAUAGAACUGAUGGAAAAAAUAUCCUACGUAUACCCUUGCAAGGAAUGUGUACACCACUUCAAGGAAGUGCGAAGAUGCCGACUUGUUUAAGGUAAGAUUUGUCACCCUAGACUGGGCUAGUCUAACUGUAGUGAACAACUCAGGUGUGGUGUGUCACCCCCGUAUAGAUCUAUACACAAACUCCUGCUCUCCCUCCAGGAGACUCUGGUUAGAACUACAUGCUAUGGUUGUACAGUCGAUAGGUGUCAAAGGAAGUGUCUCACAAGAUCCUUAAUUGAAUUUACGUGUGUAUUGAUUUGCAUAAUGUAUAUUGUUUAUGUGUAUGUUUUAAGUUUACAAAA